UUCUUUUCAGACUGACCCUUGCCCUCGUGAUGAUAAUAUAGCUGCUGGAGCCCAGCAACUACAUCCUCUCAGGGGUAAGAACAUCAGAGGAGAGAGAGCUUCAACCAGUUCGAACAAAAACCCGGGACCUAAUCUUCAACUACCCAAGUUAGGUCAAGUGGCCAUCCCUGACACAAUUACACUGGCCAGGAGAAGGCAAGACAGAGCCUGGUAUAAAGCUAGGUCCCAUAAUGACCUCUGUGGGAGAAGAAUCUAAAAACAAGCUUCAAACUGAUUGCAUACUGAUUGAUGUCUGGGAUUUGCUGUAAACUAUUUCCAUAGAGACUAAAAGAAGCAAACUGCAAAGGAAUAGAUGGAAAGACAAAAUAAAUAUGAGGAAAUAUGACAUGAGGGUCUAUGUGCCCAAAGAAUCAACAACAACAAAAAGUUCCUGAAACUAAUAAGGCUGAAAGACAGAAGGCGGAUUCCUCACCAACUGAACUACCAGGGAAGCCCAACAUAAGGAGCGCUGAGGAAGCUGCAAGCCGAUCAGAAUGGGAUUCGAACCCAUGGGUGCAGAGCAC
ensembl:lncRNA